ACAAGCGUGGAGCAUGUGGUUUAAUUCGAAGCAACGCGAAGAACCUUACCAGGUCUUGACAUCCCGAUGCUAUUUCUAGAGAUAGAAAGUUACUUCGGUACAUCGGUGACAGGUGGUGCAUGGUUGUCGUCAGCUCGUGUCGUGAGAUGUUGGGUUAAGUCCCGCAACGAGCGCAACCCCUAUUGUUAGUUGCCAUCAUUCAGUUGGGCACUCUAGCGAGACUGCCGGUAAUAAACCGGAGGAAGGUGGGGAUGACGUCAAAUCAUCAUGCCCCUUAUGACCUGGGCUACACACGUGCUACAAUGGUUGGUACAACGAGUUGCGAGUCGGUGACGGCGAGCUAAUCUCUUAAAGCCAAUCUCAGUUCGGAUUGUAGGCUGCAACUCGCCUACAUGAAGUCGGAAUCGCUAGUAAUCGCGGAUCAGCACGCCGCGGUCGAAUACGUUCCCGGGCCUU
rnacentral:rRNA from 1 species